UACGUAGGGACCGAGCGUUGUCCGGAAUCAUUGGGCGUAAAGAGCGUGUAGGCGGCCACUUAAGUCCUGCGUGAAAUCUUGCGGCUCAACCGCAAGCGGUCGUGGGAAACUGGGUGGCUAGAGUGCGGGAGAGGAGAGUGGAAUUCCGGGUGUAGCGGUGGAAUGCGCAGAUAUCAGGAGGAACACCGAUGGCGAAGGCAGAUCUCUGGGCCGUAACUGACGCUGAGGAGCGAAAGCAUGGGGAGCGAACAGG
rnacentral:rRNA from 1 species